AGCUUCAUAUGAAAAAUCUGUAAGAAGGUUUUAGAGAUAAUUUUAAAUGUUCUUUCAAAAGAGACAUUAAAAAAUUUUGUUGCCAUAUUUCUUUAACUACUAUUGAAAUAAAAAAUAGUGGUUAAAAAUAGUAUGAGUUUUAUGCAAUUAACCGGCCCCAUGAGGUAGUGUUUGCAUUAUAUUGUGUAUUAAUUAUUACUUAUUAAAUCAUUAUGUAUUAAUAAAAAUGUGUUUGUAAUUUGCA